AGUGAACGCUGGCGGUAUGCCUAACACAUGCAAGUCGAACGGCAGCACAGUAAGAGCUUGCUCUUACGGGUGGCGAGUGGCGGACGGGUGAGGAAUACAUCGGAAUCUACUUUUUCGUGGGGGAUUACGUAGGGCAACUUACGCUAAUACCGCAUACGACCUACGGGUGAAAGCAGGGGAUCUUCGGACCUUGCGCGAUUGAAUGAGCCGAUGUCGGAUUAGCUAGUUGGCAGGGUAAAGGCCCACCAAGGCGACGAUCCGUAGCUGAUCUGAGAGGAUGAUCAGCCACACUGGAACUGAGACACGGUCCAGACUCCUACGGGAGGCAGCAGUGGGGAAUAUUGGACAAUGGGCGCAAGCCUGAUCCAGCCAUACCGCGUGAGUGAAGAAGGCCUUCGGGUUGUAAAGCCCUUUUGUUGGGAAAGAAAAGCAGCAGGUUAAUACCCCGCUGUUCUGACGGUACCCAAAGAAUAAGCACCGGCUAACUUCGUG
rnacentral:rRNA from 1 species